CUCUCUCCUUGUCUCUACAGACAGGGGGCGUUCUCUCCUUGUCUCUACAGACAGGGGGCGUUCUCUCCUUGUCUCUACAGACAGGGCGCGUUCUCUCCUUGUCUCUACAGACAGGGGGCGUUCUCUCCUUGUCUCUACAGACAGGGGCGUUCUCUCUCUCUAGCUGGCUAAGGUAGCAGCCUGGGGUAACUGGCUGAGGUAGCAGCCUGGGGUAACUGGCUAAGGUAGCAGCCUGGGGUAACUGGCUAAGGUAGCAGCCUGGGGUAACUGGCUAAGGUAGCAGCCUGGGGUAACUGGCUAAGGUCAGCCUGGGGUAACUGGCUAAGGUAGCAGCCUGGGGUAGCUGGCUGAGGUAGCAGCCUGGGGUAGCUGGCUGAGGACGUGGAGGACUAACCAGCAUCCACACACACAGAGAGAGACAGACAGACAGACAGACAGACAGACAGACAGACAGACAGACAGACAGACAGACAGACAGACAGACAGACAGACAGACAGACAGACAGACAGACAGACAGACAGACAGACAGACAGAUGUAAUCAGUAACACACCACAGACAGAGAGACAGACAGACAGACAUACAGACAGGUGUAAG
ensembl:lncRNA